rnacentral:misc_RNA from 1 species
GCUAUGUCUCCUUCUCCUUUUCGUCUCUUUCUUUGAAAACCCUAGAAAUCUCAGGUUUUUAAGGAAAAGAGGACUUUGAUUCGGUGCAAUUUUAUCCUUUUCUCCUUUUUUUGUCGGUGUACAUAUGGGGUUAUAUUUCGCGGGAUCCCCAAUUUUCUAAGAAAAAAUUGGUUGUUAGAAGUUGGUGCUAUGGAGAGAUCCAAUAGCAGAGAUUUCAAAGACUUGACUAGCUCCUCUGGCUCCAUCUCAGAUGGUGCCCUCUUUGAUGCAUCACAAUAUGCAUUUUUUGGGCGAGAUAUAGCGGAGGAAGUUGAAUUGGGUGGUUUAGAGGACGGACAAGACAAUAGUGAUCUGGGUGUUGGAGGUGGAUUAGGUGAUGACGAGAUACAGGAGUAUCAUUUAUUUGAGAAAGACGAGGGAUCUGUGGUGGGCUCAUUAUCGGACAUAGAUGAUCUAGCAACGACAUUUUCAAAGUUGAACAGAAAUGUCACUGGACCAAGGCAUCCUGGUGUUAUUGGUGACCGUGGAUCAGGCUCUUUUUCAAGGGAAAGUUCAUCUGCAGCUGAUUGGGCGAAAGAAGCAGACUUUCAUGAUUGGUUUGAUCAGCAUUUAUCUGACACUGAAUGUUACCAGGAAAGCAAAAAAUGGUCUUCACAGCCACAUAUCUCUGCAGUGCUUGCAGAGUCAAAACCAUUGUAUAGAACAUCCUCAUACCCCGAGCAACCCCCACAACCUCAACAACUUCAGCACUACUCUAGUGAACCCAUUUUACUACCGAAAUCAUCUUAUACUUCUUUUCCUCCUGGUGGUAGAUCUCAACCCUCACCACAUAGCCUUUCGCGACAAAACAUGUCAUCUCUUUCUGCUGGACCUCAGUCUCCCUAUUCUUCUCUGAAUCUCUCUUCGUUGCCGAACUCUAAUCUGCAUUUGACAGGCUUGGCUCAUGGGCUUCACUAUGGUAGUGGAAACAUCCAACAUUUGAACCCUACUGGUCUUUCUCAUAAUUCUAGGUUGCAAAACCAGUGGAGCAGUCAUGCAGGACUCAUCCAUGGGGACCAUUCUGGUCUCUUAGAUAGUGUCUUGCAGCAUCAAUUUCCUCAUCAAAACAGCUUACUAUCUCCCCAGUUACUGUCCCCACAGCAGCUCCAA